rnacentral:rRNA from 1 species
ACAUGCAGUCGAGCGGCAGCGCGGGGGCAAUCCUGGCGGCGAGCGGCGAACGGGUGAGUAAUACAUCGGAACGUGUCCAGUAGUGGGGGAUAACCUGUCGAAAGAUAGGCUAAUACCGCAUACGAUCUACGGAUGAAAGCGGGGACUCUUGGGCAACUGAGGGCCUCGCGCUGUUGGAGCGGCCGAUGUCGGAUUAGCUAGUUGGCGGGGUAAAAGCCCACCAAGGCGACGAUCCGUAGCUGGUCUGAGAGGACGAUCAGCCACACUGGAACUGAGACACGGUCCAGACUCCUACGGGAGGCAGCAGUGGGGAAUUUUGGACAAUGGGCGCAAGCCUGAUCCAACCAUGCCGCGUGAGUGAAGAAGGCCUUCGGGUUGUAAAGCUCUUUCGGUGAAGACGAAACGGUUCGUGCUAAUAACGCGAACUAAUGACGGUACUCACAGAAGAAGCACCGGCUAACUACGUGCCAGCAGCCGCGGUAAUACGUAGGGUGCAGGCGUUAAUCAGAAUUACUGGGCGUAAAGCGUGCGCAGGCGGCUCCUUAAGUCAGAUGUGAAAUCCCCGGGCUUAACCUGGGAACUGCGUUUGAAACUGAGGGGCUAGAGUGUGGAAGAGGGGGGUGGAAUUCCAGGUGUAGCAGUGAAAUGCGUAGAGAUCUGGAGGAACACCGAUGGCGAAGGCAGCCCCCUGGGCUAACACUGACGCUCAUGCACGAAAGCGUGGGGAGCAAACAGGAUUAGAUACCCUGGUAGUCCACGCCCUAAACGAUGUCAACUGGUUGUCGGGGAAGCAAUUCCUUGGUAACGAAGCCAACGCGUGAAGUUGACCGCCUGGGGAGUACGGCCGCAAGGUUAAAACUCAAAGGAAUUGACGGGACCCGCACAAGCGGUGGAUUAUGUGGAUUAAUUCGAUGCAACGCGAAAAACCUUACCUACCCUUGACAUGUACGGAAGCUCGCAGAGAUGUGAGUGUGCCCGAAAGGGAGCCGUAACACAGGUGCUGCAUGGCUGUCGUCAGCUCGUGUCGUGAGAUGUUGGGUUAAGUCCCGCAACGAGCGCAACCCUUGUCAUUAGUUGCUACAUUCAGUUGGGCACUCUAAUGAGACUGCCGGUGACAAACCGGAGGAAGGUGGGGAUGACGUCAAGUCCUCAUGGCCCUUAUGGGUAGGGCUUCACACGUAAUACAAUGGCCGGUACAGAGGGCAGCCAACCCGCGAGGGGGAGCUAAUCCCAGAAAGCCGGUCGUAGUCCGGAUUGUUCUCUGCGACUCGAGAGCAUGAAGUCGGAAUCGCUAGUAAUCGCGGAUCAGCAUGUCGCGAUGAAUACGUUCCCGGGUCUUGUACACACCGCCCGUCACACCAUGGGAGUGGGUUUCACCAGAAGUAGUUAGCCUAACCGCAAGGAGGGCGACUACCACG